GUUCUUUAGCAGCAUUUUCCUCUCAAGCACUGGUGCAACGUGAUGGAAAAUCAGCAGAGAAUGGCUGGGCGUGCACAGGACUGACUGCUGGAGGAAUGGUUGUGUAGGGACUGCAUGCUGCCUUCAGAAUAUGUACAUCUUUUUGUAUACUGCACAAUACAGGGGAAGAGAAUUACUGCUUCCAGAGUUCUGGGUUGGAAAUUUUUGUCUUCUAUCAGUAUUGGAACAUACUGCCAAUGUUUCAAAUGUUCCUUAGAGUUAUGUCACCUGGAAUAUAAUUUUCUUGAUGGAAAAGCUUUUUUUCCAGCUCUUUGGCUAAGAACCUCAAAAUCUCUGGGAUCUCAGGAAAGAUGCUUGUAGCAGAGACACAGUGGGAAGAGAGAAAUUCAUAUCACUGAACUUUGAGCACCUAAGUUUGACCAAUCUAGG
rnacentral:lncRNA from 1 species